ensembl:lncRNA
UUUGCCUUUUAGGUCAUAUUUUUAAAACCUGUUACUACAGGUUUUCUUUUUUAUGUUCUCUUAAGAACUCUGUGAUUGCUUUUGUCUGCUUUAAGCAGACUGGCCAAGCUGCAGUCAGUGUUCUGGCUGAGCUCUCACCGGGAACACACAAAGCAAACCAAUUUGCUUCAUUUCAGAUUCACAAUAUUCCUGCUAGUACAGUCCUUAAUAAUUUUCCUGCAUUGUUGGCUCUUACUUAGGUUUAGUCUUGACAGCCAGAUUCUGUCCUGACGUAUACUGAUUGAUUGUUUCCCUUUGAAUUAUGCUCUUUAUUUCCCCUCCUUAUGGACACAUUUAUAAGGCAUAAAUGUCUUAGGGACAUUUCUCCUCCUUAUGCCUGGUCUUCAGUGCAUGCAUCUUCAAAUUAGUUCCUCUCGUCCAAAAUGCAUAAUAAAUCUCUCAAUAUGAUGCUUUGAUUGCAUUAUUUAUUUCAUUAGUCAAAUAAUUUACAGAGAUUAUGAUUAAAACAGUUAAAAAAAAAAGAAAAAGGAAAUAAAGAACAAUUUCAGGUCAGACCUCUGGAAGACAUCACUUAAAGUCUCUUAGUCUGAUAACAAGAAAUAGUUAACUUAGGAAAUUUUGAUUGCAAUUCUGCAAGUCCUUUCAGUUCACUGUACUUUUACAGUACCAAAUGCCUCACAAAGGCCAAAGUUCGUCAUGUCUGUUGCUUAAACCAGUUAAGUCAGCUAGAAGGGUUGCUGUAGUCAGGUAUUUUUGAUAAAACCAGGCAUCGUGAAGAGUAUGAUGUUACUAUAGCUAUUUUAAGAAUACUUAGCAACCCAUCAGGUUUUGAAUAAGACUAAGUGGCCUGUGAUUCUCAGGUAUUCCUUUUACUGCUUAAAGUUGGUACUGUUUUCUCCUUCUUCAUUUGCAAACCAAGUGAAAGUCUUCCCUAAAGAUCACUAUAACUAAAGAUAAAGUUUUCAACUUCAGCUAUAAGUGCAUACACCUGUGUUUCUGGGGGAGUUCCUUCCAGCUGUAGUUUUAUUCACCAUGCAGGCCCACUGAAUUUCUCAUCUAGCUGUGACUAGUUAGGUAUGCAUGCAUUCAGUCUCUUGCAGAAGCAUUUGUAUGAAAGAACUGAUUUCAGGAAAAAAUCAGGAGAGGGUCCAAAAAGUGAUAUAAAUUUAUCAAAAAAUCUGCCAUGGUUCCAAAAUCUCUUUUUGAAACAUAUUUCUAAAGAACUCUUACUGGAGAUGGAAAUUUAGUUAUACCCUGACAAAUGGGUAGUUUACUUGCUAAGGUUCCAUAAAUAAGGUUUCUGUACAUAGAUCUAAGUGAAUAUGCAAGGUAUGGAAUGUAGAAUAUUUCCUUACCUGCUACAACCUAAAAUUACUCAGGAAAUGAACAAAAGCUUCCUCAAAACAAACAAACAAAGAAACCAAACAAAACCCAUGAGCUAUGACUACCAGCUACCAAGUGAUCCUUUCCAAGAUGAGAGAGUACAGAAUAUUUUGGAAGCCCUUACUGCAUGAAAGCCACAGUAGCAGCCUGGAUUAGAUAAUUUGGACAUUGUCACAUUGUGCAAGCACGUAAAGUGGCAGCAAAGUCAGAAUCACAGAAGAAAAUGCUUAGGUCAACUCAAAGACCAAUUGAAAACGGGAUAUCUAAUGCAUGCUAAAAUUAUGGGUAAUGCCAGGUCAUAUUAUUACUUUAGAAUAGUGGGAAAGUAUGCACUUAAUGAGCUCUACUAAGAGCUGUGUGGCUUGAUUAUUGCAGGUGAAAUAGUUCAGCUGCUAACAAAUGGUGCAGACCUUUUUCAAAGGUCUUUUCCCUGGCCUUCCCCCCGCUCCUGCCUUCCCCAAGGUGUUUCUGAGCACUGCCUUACUUCUAGUGAGAAUCCUCAUGGCAGGCUGAUGCUGGUACAAGGUUAGACAGAAGACUCUAAGGUCAGGAUUGAUUUUGAAAUAAGUAAUUUCAAUGACUAUUAAGGUAAUCAAUACACAGCUUGGAGCAAGACAUCUAAAAGUAGCCAAUACUCUCUUCCACGUCAAGAAUUCAUCUGGAAUCUUACAAGACUGUUUUGCACAUUCUCAUAAUGAGAAGUCAGACCUUCAGUGCAAGUUGCCUCAUUCCUUUAGAGUAAGUUGAUUUGUAUCAGUGUACACCAGCAGAAGAUUUAUACCAUGGUGCCAUGGAAAUGCUAAGUCGUGGCCUGAAGCAGUGAUUGCACACCUGGUGGGAAGGCAGGGCCAACCCAGGGGAGCUCAGGUGAACACAAUGCAGCUGAUUAGAAGGGCUGGAGCCGGGAUCCACCCUUUCCCAGACCUCAUGUAAGGGUUGGCAGUGGAGGGGGAGACUCUCUUGUUGGAGAUUCCUGCCUAUCUGAAGAUGUUACAGGCCUUCCAAAGCUCCCACUUCUCUUUGUUGGCAUUGUCAACAAAAAUAAUGAAAAGUUACUUCAGCAGUGAGAUUUGUCCAAGAAAUAUGGAGAGGAGUAAUCACCAAGUAGGGAAGCAGGGCAAGGCUGAGGAGGAAUUGGGCACAGUGACACUGACUGCCUCAGCCAAUGGAAUCAAUAUCAGAUGCAGAAAGGACAAGACAAUGGAAUUAAAACAUUCAAAAUUCUUUUCAGUACUUCCAGAUGCCAAUAGCAGAGACGUACUGACAUGAAAACCUCAACAAAAAAGUUGUAUCUACCCCAUCUACCUCUGUGAUGACAGAAUCACAGAAUGGCUUGUGUUGGAAGGAACCUCAAGGAUCAUGAAGCUCCAACCCCCUCGCCACAAGCAGGGCCACCAACCUCUGCAUUUAAUCCCAGACCAGACCACAUUUAAUGCCCAGGGCCCCAUCCAACCUGACGUUGAACAUCUCCAGGGAUGAGGCAUCCACAACCUCUUUGUGCAGCUGUUCCAGCACCUCACCACUCUCAUAGUAAAGAAAUUACAGAUUAUGAAGUAGUGGUUCCUGUGUGUAUCUGCUGUGCUGACCUCACCUAUAAAUGACUCUGCAGUGGAAAAGAUUCUUCUGUUCCCAAAAAUAUAAAUUACUCUUUAGACUAGGUUUUGCAUUCAAGCUAAUACAAUGGUGUUACUCAUAAGAGUGAAAUUAUUUGUGUUCAGACACGUUCCUAGAAUUAAUAUGUAACAUCUCAAAUCAGAUCUAACAGGAUGAAAAUGCGGAAUUUUGGGGGUCCAAUUUUGAGUAUGUAUCAAUCACAAAUUAUGAUUCUGGAAAAAAAAGUAGUUGUAACUAUGAGGUUAAUUAUAGUAACUAUGAGGUAGAUUAUAUGUAGUCAUCAAAUAACAGUUUUGUUACGCAAUGAGUAUCUGUCUUUGCAGUUAUAACACUGCAUCAUUUCUUAAAGUUAGUAUUAUCUUGUAACUUCACAUUGUGUUUUAAUUGCCUACUUGAAUUUGCUGUGCUUUAGUAGUGAAGACUUGCUGAUUAGUAUAUUAAUUGUUUUUAAGUGUUAAUGUAAUGCUUGGGACUUAUUUAACUUGGAUAAAUUGUGGGAUCUUUUUUUCUCUUUUCCUUCUUUAAGAGCUCAGCACAUAUAUCGGUCGAAUCUCCCUAUGAACUCAAAUCCCUGCUCUUACAUAAUGGCUAUUAGACUUAUGCUGUAAAGCUAAUCGCAGCAGGUGCCAUCACAGGACAGUGGGACAGUAGUGAACAUCCUUCCUGGUCAGUGGUCUCUGAUGUCAGACCCAGACUUUAUCCUUCUUCUACUGUGCUUUUUCAGGUGAUGUUUAAAGCCUGAUUUGACUGAUUAGUGCCAAUAUAGUUGAUUAAAGUUGCUUAUUGUUUUAAUCUGUCAGCAGUGUGAAUGUCAUGCAUCUGCUUAGGUAGGAGUAGUGGUGAAUUGAAAGGUAAGAGCUAUGUCUGAUUUCCAAUAUGAGCUGUUUUAGCCAACCCCCAUCUGAUGGGAAGCCUGUACCACUACAGGACUCAAGCUGUGCCUUUGUACUGAUCUGCUGCUCCUCAAUUCAAGAAAUACUGCCUCAAAAUAAAGCUGUUUGUCUUAUGUCAAGAGAUGAUUUCAUAUGCUCUCAGCGGUAGCUUAAGGAGAACUUUAAUCACUGCUCUAUACUACGUUUUCAUGUGUUUUGCUUUGAUUGCUUUUAUAUACAUACAUUAGUGAAAUGGGGCAGGAACAGAGGAAGUUUUUGUUACAUUCUGAUGGUCUUUGACAGGUCCUGGAUGUAUUGGGACUGUCUCCUCAACCAAGGCAGAACCCGAGUUACACAAAGGAAAGCUGUAUUGGAGAAUUGGUCUUCCAGCUGGAGAAGCCAUGCAGAAGCACAUGAUAUCAUGAACAUUAUUAUUAUUUCCCAGAAACUACUGAAAAAAGCAGUUAGUUUUGUCAUAGACAUAAAUGUUCUGCUUGGUGUCAGUGUAACCUCCAUUGUUUGCAAAGGUGGUUACCUUGUGUGUGCAGAAGUCCUGCCCGCUACCAUUAGCCAUACCGUUAGCUGUUACAGGAGGCUCUGCUGGUCAGUCAUGGUGACCCAGUCUGGCCAUUUCUGAUAUUUAAUGCAAUUCUCAAGUUGUUGUAAAACUCCAUAAGAAAAAGCCAUGCUAUAAUGAACAGACGGAAAUAAAGCUUCCCUUGUCUAAUAGUGUUAAAAUAUAUAUAUGUAUCUGAAGAAGUAAGGAAAGUGUUUGUCAUCAGAAGUUUUUCAUAAGACUUUUCAUGAUCAUUGCAUUCAGUGUUCAUUUAUCAUUUAGAGAAAAAAAAAUUCAGUAAUUAUUUUCAACCAAUAUAGGAAGAGAUUGAGAGCAAAUAUUAAGAUCAUUUGAGAGGACAAUUGAGGAUUUUAUUAUUAUUAUUUAGUAUUUCUCACAGUGCCUCUUAUUGCUAUCAUGUCUGGUUCUUCUUUUUCUACGCUUAAAUAUUCAACACCUCUGUUGUUUUGGCAUCAACAACUGACUCUGUCAGUGUACAUAAGAAGCCUCUGAUCUCUUAUGCUACCUAUGCAGAUUCUGAAUCCUGAGCCAAAACUUGGUCAAGUCAGAGGGGGGUGUUCAUACAGAGUCCUAGAAAAAUCGUUAUGGGGAACAUCUAGUAUAUCUCAAAUUGUGUAGAGGAAUCUGCUGAAACAAAGCAUGCUGGUACCUAGCUUAACUUGUACUUGUUAAUUAUUAGUGAUUAAUUUUUAAUAGCUGUAUUUUAUAGCUUGUGGUUGGUUAUGCCCCAAGGUAAUGACUUCUUGUGUCUCAUAUUCUGUUAUUUGAAGGACAUCAUUCAAUAUAGCAUCUAUACAGCUUUGUUAAAGCAUUUAGAUCUAAAUUUUCUGCAGCAAAGACACAUUUAUUAAAUAGUCCAUAUGUUUAUUACUGUUCACAAUGAUCAAAUCCUGGGAAAACAUUGCAGAAAGAAAAUAUCUAGCUUCCUACCUUAAUUCCCAUUAUUCUAUUGAUUAGAAAAGUGAAGAUUACAUGUAUUAUCAACUGUAUUAUCAGAUAAUCCAUAAUCAGAUGCCAUUUUAAUGACAGGCAUGUGCUUUUUGUGGUGUUCCCUGGUAAAGCAGUAUGAAGAAUUUAAUGACUUCAUUAAAAGAUACUGCAUAACAAAGAAAGGAAAGCCCAAUGCCAUUUAAUAUUAUCUUUACAAUGUAUUACAUUGUUGAAUUGGAUUUUUUGUUUUGCUUAUUUGGUUUUGUUGUUGUUUUGCAAUUUUAUGUUCUGUAAGUUGAACAAUAAAUGUGUGAUAAGCAAAGGAAAUGUUGAGAUUUUUGCAGAUAUGGGCAAGCAGUGUUAUGACAGGUAUGUUCUGUGUCCUUAAAGAAACAGCAAGAAUGGUUUGUACCUUAAGAUGAUGAAUCUAUAGCGGACUUUCAAAUUCUUUUAAAAAGCAAAAUAAUAAGGAAGGUUUCACUGUUGCAGAUUGUGCCUGGAAUGUUGGGGCUGGGAGAUGCCACAAAGGAUAUUUUCCUUUUUUUUUUUUUUCCAUUAUUUUAUUUGUUUGUGUGGUAUUUCGGUAUUUUUUUAUUGCCUGUCCAAGCUGACUGUACUAGUACCAUUGUGUUCUCAGAAGUGGAUCUGGAUGAUUCUUUACUUUUUUACUGGAGGUCGGAUUUACUUUUUUUUAGGAAGUCAGAUCCUGUCAUGAAGAUACUAGACUGGAAGUCAGGACUUUCCUUCUUGUGUCACAGACCUUGUGUGGGCCUAGCCUGGACAGGGUGUUUGAUUCUCACUGCUGCAGUAUUCCGUGUGAAAUUUGAAGUUUUGAUUUAUUCUUUCAAUUUGUUUAAGAAUACAUGUAUUCAUCAUGUAUGAGAUACAGAGAUGUAAUACUAAUGGAUACCUGGAUACAGUCCAUUGGAACGUUGAGUUUUGUAUCUCAAUUAUUGCAAAGCCUAAAAAUAGUUAAUAUUUGAGAGCAAAAAACAAAAUCGAGAAAACUCUUUGUCUUAAAUCUGCCUAUUCAUGAUUUGUCUAAAAGCACAUUAGUUUUGGGAAACAAAACUGAGAUUGUCUGCUGUUUUAGAACUUAAAAAUCAGUGAAAAUCAGCUGUUAUCAUCUUGACUUGGAACUGAAUUUGCUUUGUAACCUAAAAAGGCUGUAAUUUUGUAAAUAGGUAAUAGUUGUGGUAUUGUUUGUAUCAUUAAUACUGUAUUGCAUAUGUUACGAGUGUUGAUGCUGCUAGAUCUCUCAGUGGCUCAGGUUACUGAAAGCUAUUUAAAGAAGUCUCUGAUGCAGAGAUGCCAUUACAUUUGAUAUCUUACAUUGUGAUUUACAGGUUUUUAAGGCUUUGUUUGAUGUUGAUUUUGUUUUUUUUUUCAGAGCUCCUCUCCAGUGGUUCUCUGUUUGUUGGUCUGGCAAAGUCAUUUAAAUGAAAGUUCACAGUGCCAGAAUAUGGUUUAGCAAUUCACUGAAGCCACUAGAAUUGGGUUUUAUUUAUUUUAUUGUUUUAUUGCUGUCCUGCUCUGCUUGAAAUUCACCCAUUUAUGUUUAAGUAUGACAACAUAAAGCAAGUAGUAACAACUGUUUCUUUUUUUUUCAUUGAUCUGCGACAAAUUCUUCAGCUUA